AGAAUCAACGCUGGCGGCGUGCCUAACACAUGCAAGUCGAACGAGAAAGUGGUAGCAAUACCAUGAGUAAAGUGGCGCACGGGUGGGUAACACGUGACUAACCUACCCUGGAGUGGGGGAUAACUGGGAGAAAUCCUAGCUAAUACCGCAUAAUACCUACGGGUCAAAGGAGCAAUUCGCUUCAGGAGGGGGUCGCGGCCGAUUAGUUAGUUGGCGGGGUAAUGGCCCACCAAGACGAUGAUCGGUA
rnacentral:rRNA from 1 species